CAUAUGGAAAUAUAGUGUCACUAAUAUAUUCUCCUAUUAUUCAUUUCUAAUCUAUGGUGUGCCAAAGUCACUUUGGUCACUUAAAAAAUGUUAAACUUGAUGUGUCAAAGUCAUGUGGUCACUACAGGGUUAAAUUAAUGAUACAUGCACGCAGCACGUUAUUCACAUGUUGGCCAGUAGAGGUCGCAUGCACCUUUCUCAUUCCAGACAUUCCUUCACUGAACGUCAAAGAGUGAAGGCACGAGUCAUAUCGUUGUGUUACAAAGACAAGGUUUAUAAGUUAAAAUACUUGUCACUCCUCAAACCGAGUGUUGGAAAAGCAGCAUAAGAUAGCCUGGUUCCAGUGGGAGCUGGAUUGCUGUGUUUUGUGCUGCUGAGAACUUCAGUAAGUGUUACUUUGUGAGUGAGGCCUACUAGCAAGCCUGUUAGCCUAGCCAUCCUGUUAGCGCUAAAGAGAGGAGUUUGAUAACAAGACACAGAGUUAAAAUGUACAAAACCAAUUGGAGUAAUAUGAUGUCUUGAGAGAAUGCCCUGUGACAUGUUAGCAUGUUGCAGUUGGAUAACUUUAUUGUAUUUUCGUUUUGUGUAAAAGAGAGGUUUAUUUAAUGUUACUGUGUUCAGCCUUAGCAGUGAGCAGAGGAGCUGCAUUCAUUUCAAUGCUGCUAAAAGCACCCUCGUCAUUCUGCUUAAAGGGGAACUGUUGAUACAUUUCAUUUAUUAAAUUGAUACAGUUAAAAUGAUAACCAUUAUAAUACAUGAUGACCAAAAUGUGAUUUCAGUUAAAUAAUCAUUUAUUUUAUUUUGUGAUGGUUUAAAAAGUGAUAAUUCACAGUUCAUAAUUUAAAGAUAAAAGGGUAAAAAUCCUUAAAUGGAUGUAACUCAUUUCAUUCAUUGAAGUCAUAAGUAAGAGGUGAAGCUACUAUAGUUUUCAUGAUUUGAUGCUGCUGUUAAAGUCUUACAGACUUAUAUGGAGUACAGUGUGAACCGACCAGUAUUCAUAUAUCCAUAACUAAAUGGUUAAAAUGAGUAACUGUGUUUAUUGAUUUAUAAUUGAAGUUAAUAUGGUACCAUAUGGAAGAGAACUAAGAGUAAAAAGAGUAUUCUAACUGAUUACAUUCUGUACUGCUAUGUGCAGAUUGGUUUUUGUAUGAUCCUGAAGUCUGGUUCCAAACUGGACUUGAGUUAUGAUGGCGAGCCAGUCCCAGUGAGUGAGAGUCUGCGGAGAGGGAGCGUGUGGAUGUGGUGUGGCCAGCUGCAUCGGUCUCCACACUCUGCAGCGACCUAUAACUGAACUGAUCCACCAUCAGAGUCGCAAGUAUCGAACCGAAUCAGUAUGGAAUAACGGAUUACAAUAGAACUAAGGAUUCCCAACCAAGGAAUAUAGACAGUGUUCAAUUCAUUACUACCCGGGUAGAAUUUACUUUUUCAAAGGACAAUUUAAAAAGGACAUUUCUUCUAUUUUGCUACUUUUGAAUUUUUGCAACAGAGCUCUAUUUUUAUUUAUUUUUGGGGGGUAUUUACAAUUUAAAAAGCACACUGUUCAUGUGUUAUUGUUUAUUAUUGUGCAAUAAAUUUGCCAGCAGUUGUUCUGUGGUCCACUAAGUACGUAACGUCUCAUUGCGAGUCUCUCAAUUAUACAGCCAAGAACCUAGUAAUCUUAAUUGUUGUACUAACCUGCUAUCCUACAGUAGGGGUGCUACACACUUGGCGAGCCAGCCAGGAGCGCUGUGAUUCCGAAUUCAUACUGUGCGUACAAUACAGAACAGCUCUGGCAACGUUUAUUCACAAAUUUUGUAAUACCUCUGACUUUACACUUGAAAUAUGGAUGUCAUUAAGUCUGAAAACAUUAAGGUACCCAGUUCAGUACUGGUCAGUGGCAUGUCUGGUACUGAAGUAGAUGAGGAGGUAUUUGACUUUUUGAAUCAAUAUGGGUCCAUUGAAAGAGUGGUUAAAAUUGACAGUUCCGAUGCUAAAUUCCCAAAUUCUGCUAUUGUUGAGUUUAAAUCUGGGGAAGGUGUUAGUGUUCUUGCACGUGAUUUACCAUAUAACAGACCUUCUUCAGAUGACAAAAUUACACACUAUGUGCAACUUUUAUCUAGUGUUUAUGCUGCUAAUGCAGGUUCGAACAUAACCAAAUUCUACCUGUGUGAGCUUGAAAGCAUUGCAAAAUUGAGUGGCACAGACUUUGAGAAAAUCCUGCGAGAGGAGUUGGCCAGAAUUCAAGAAAGCAGGCCAGCUCAACGAGAUGAGGAUGUUGAGCACCAAACCCCCUUGUCUACUUCUCACAAGAGUGGAGUUGAACCAGCAUCAGUCCAAACCCCAACUCAGUCCACUCUAAAUAUGAAUGCGGUCCCACUUAGACAAACCCUGCCUAGUGGUGCCAGAUCACCCUUUCAGCUACCACUUGACCAAAUUAACACACCUGAGGUGCAGAGAAUGGUCGUGGAGCAUAUUGUAAAGAGCAGUGACAUGUCGUCAACACACCAUGCCAGGUUGAGGCCUUUCUCUGGGAAAACUCCCUGCCCCAGCCUGGAAGUCGAUUAUGACACUUGGCGUAGUAAUGUCGAGUUCUACUUCAGCGAUUCCACAAUCCCUGACAAGCAAGUGGUCAGAAGGAUUGUAGAAAGUCUCCUUCCUCCAGCUGUAAAUGUUGUAAAGCAUCUUGGGCCCCAGUCGAGCCCACGUGACUAUUUGCAUGCUCUUGACUCAGCCUACGGUACUGUGGAUGAUGCUGAUGAGCUCUUUGCAGCAUUCCUUACCACCGACGCAGAGCCGGGUGAAAAGGCUUCUGCUUAUUUACAUCGUCUACAGUCAAUACUGAGCAAAGUAGUCAAGAGGAAUGGCAUUCCUGCCAGCGACGCAGACCGGCAACUGCUGAAACAGUUCUGCAGGGGAUGUUUCAACAAUAGUUUAAUCACACAUCUUCAGCUGUCCCAACUGCAGAAGGAUGCCCCACCCUCAUUCUCCGAGUUGUUGCUCUUAGUGAGGACGGAGGAAGACAAGCAGGCUGCCAGAUCUCGUCGUAUGAAGCAACAUGUUGGAUUUCACAAAGCUAAAGUGCUGUCUAAUAAUGUGAACGUGUACAAAUCUGAUACAGAUGAGAGGGACGUAGCAGCCGUUGCUGUAAAGUACAACCAUAAUGAGAGUACAAAGAAAAUACAAAAACAACUUGCACAACUUCAAGCCCAGUUGGCAAACCUGAAAGUGUCCAUGGAUGAAUCUUCCACAAAGGCUACCUCCAAGGGAGCUAAGCAAAGAGAAACAAAAGCUGUGGGACGAACAAAGCAAACAGGAUUUAUAAAUCAUGUUCCUGUUGAGGAGCAAACAGGAACAAAGACUAACACAAGCUCCAAACAAAAUGUUUCAAGUUAUUCUCACAGAACCAAGCACCAAUCUAAAAUACCAAAAGGUUUAAUUGGCAACAAAUGCAUCAGUAAUGUGACUGUGUCAGGUGUAAAUUGUAACUGCCUUCUUGACACAGGGUCUCAGGUGACCACAAUUUCAAACUCAUUCUACACAGAGCACUUGUCAGAACAGCCUAUCCAGCCAUUCAAUCUUCUUGAUGUGGAAGGUGCUAAUGGUCAGUCUGUCCCAUAUUUGGGCUAUGUAGAAGUCAGUAUUAGGUUGCCAAAAGAGUUUAUUGAUACUGCACCCGAAGUGAACACUCUAGCAUUAGUUGUCCCUGAUCAACGCUCCAACAGUGACCUUCCUGUUCUAAUAGGGACCAACUUACUUGAUGUAUUAUAUGAUGAAGAGUGCCAAUACAACACUCAAAAGACCACUUCAACUGUUCAUGGCUACAAACAAAUCCUCAGUGCACUUGAAUUUAGACAAAAGCUAAAGAGCACUGGGCAAAUAGGUCUAAUGACACUCAAAGCGAAACCGCAGAAAGUUAUUCCUGCACAUGAUAAAGUCCUUGUGGAAGGCCAGGUCAAUGUCAAUCUUGCAAAUACGGAGAAAUUGGCAGUUCUGGAACAGCCAAGAAAGUCUGUCUUACCUGGUGGCAUUUUCGUUGACUGUUGCCUCGUCACUUUGCCCCAGCAGCCUCAGCACAAGUUGGCUGUUUGGCUGAGAAACGAGACAGACCAUGACAUAACACUACCCACAAACUGUAUUGUCGCAGAACUGCAUGUUCCUGAUAAGAUUGUUGAAAAAAGUCCAUUACCUGACAAGAAUGCAGCUACUGUGAACUGUUGUAGUGCAACAUUUUCUCCAAAUCAGUCCACAAACAACACCCUGACAUUUGACUUCGGCAAUUCUCCUCUACCAGAGGAAUGGAAAACCAGAGUCACAGAGAAACUCAAUGGUUACUCUGAUGUGUUCGCACAUCAUGACCUUGAUUUUGGUCAUGCCACCAAAGUCAAGCAUCGUAUCAAGCUCAAGGACGAGACUCCUUUUAAACAGCGUUCAAGACCCAUACAUCCCAAUGACUAUGAGGCUGUGAGGAAACACCUUAAAACACUGCUAGAAGCUGGUGUGAUACAGGAGUCCGAGUCACCCUACUCGUCACCCAUAGUCGUUGUAAAGAAAAAGAACGGUGAUGUCCGACUUUGUGUCGAUUACCGUAAGUUGAAUACGCAAACCAUAAAGGAUGCUUAUGCACUACCAAACCUCGAAGAAGCAUUCUCCGCCCUCACCGGGUCACAGUGGUUUUCCGUAAUGGACCUCAAGUCCGGAUAUUACCAAAUUGGUAUGGAAGAGAGUGACAAAGCCAAGACUGCUUUUGUCUGUCCCCUGGGGUUUUGGGAGUUCAACCGUAUGCCCCAGGGGAUAACCAAUGCGCCGAGUACAUUUCAGCGCCUAAUGGAGAAAUGCAUGGGUGACAUUAACCUGAAAGAGGUGCUUGUGUUUCUUGAUGAUCUCAUUGUGUUCUCUGCCUCCCUGGAGGAACAUGAGGCCAGGCUUCUGCACGUCCUUCAACGGCUAAGAGAAUAUGGUCUCAAGCUUUCUCCCGAGAAGUGCAGAUUCUUCCAAACGUCUGUACGUUAUCUUGGACACAUCGUCUCAAGAGAUGGUGUCGAGACUGAUCCCGAGAAAGUCAUUGCACUGAAAACGUGGCCAAGGCCACAGACCCUAAAAGAAUUGAAGUCCUUUUUAGGCUUCGCCGGCUAUUAUCGCCGCUUUGUCAAGGACUAUUCUAAAAUAGUGAAGCCCCUAAACAGUCUCACUUCUGGCUAUCCACCUCUCAGAAAAGGCCAGAAGAUGACGACAUGUAAAGGGAAAUAUUUCAAUCCAAAAGAGCCGUUCGCAGAACGAUGGACACCUGCUUGUCAGGACGCUUUUGAAUGCAUCAUAGAGAAGCUCACAUCUUCUCCCAUCCUGGGGUUCGCAGAUGCAAAGCUCCCCUAUACACUGCAUACGGAUGCUAGUACUACUGGUUUAGGAGCUGCUUUAUACCAAGAGCAGGACGGCCAAUCAAGGGUCAUCGCCUAUGCCAGUAGGGGCCUUUCAUCUAGUGAGGCCAGAUAUCCAGCACACAAGCUGGAGUUUCUAGCUUUAAAAUGGGCAAUCCUAGAGAAGUUCCAGGACUAUCUCUAUGGUAACAACUUCACUGUGGUAACGGAUAACAAUCCGUUAACUUACAUACUCACCUCAGCUAAGCUAGAUUCUGCCAGUUAUCGCUGGCUAGCAGCCCUUUCUACGUUCAAUUUCAACAUCAAGUACAGGGCUGGAAAGAGCAAUCAAGAUGCCGAUGGUCUCUCCAGGCGACCGCAUGGAAUGCUGGUUGAGGAUGACGCUUCACUGGAAGAAAGAGAGAGAAUAAAGCGGUUCACCUCACAUCAUCUAUCAUCGUCACCUGACCAUCUAGACUUACCUGAAGAUGCAGUUACAGCCCUUUGUCACCGACACCUGAUAAGAGAAACCGACAACUUACCUUCCAUCACGUUGGUUGAAUCCCUAGCUCUCAACGCCAACGCUGUUCCAGACAUCUACAGUGAUGAAGAAUUAUUAGGUCAUGUGACAGUACCCAUCUUCAGUGAGGAUGACCUCCGAGAACGUCAGGAAGCUGAUCCUGCCAUCAAACAUGUUAUUCAUCUGUUGGAAUCUGGAGGCCCAGUACCUCGGAACAUUGGUCCUAAUUCUCCUGAACUCACACUGAUGCUCAAGGAGUGGAAGCGCCUUGAGAUGAGAGACGGUCUCCUGUACAGGAAGCGGAAAUGUGAAGAGGAAACGAUCUAUCAACUCGUUCUUCCAGAGUCCCUCAGAGUCACUGUACUCAAGUGUCUCCAUGAUGACAUGGGACACAUGGGCAUAGACCGUACCAUUGACUUAGUACGGUCAAGAUUCUACUGGCCACGAAUGGCUGCGGAUGUUGAGCACAAGGUCAAAACCUGUGGCCGUUGUGUUAGGAGGAAGACUCCGCCUGAGAAAGCAGCACCGCUGGUCAGUAUCCAGACAAAUAGGCCAAUGCAAUUAGUCUGCAUGGACUACCUAUCACUGGAGCCUGAUUCCCACAAUACUAAGGACAUUCUGGUCAUCACAGACCACUUUACAAAAUAUGCAGUAGCCAUACCCACGAAAGAUCAAAAAGCUACUACUGUUGCAAAGUGUCUGUGGGAGCAGUUCCUGGUUCACUACGGCUUUCCUGAACGCUUGCACAGUGAUCAGGGAAGAGAUUUCGAAUCCCACACUAUUAAAGAACUGUGUGCCAUAGCCGGUAUCAAGAAAGUGAGAACCAGUCCUUAUCACCCGAGGGGAAACCCGGUUGAGCGGUUCAACCGCACGCUUCUUGGCAUGUUGGGUACUCUGAAAGAAAAAGAGAAGAGUCACUGGCGUGAUUUCGUUAAACCACUCACACAUGCCUACAACUGUACCAGAAGCGAGGUCACCGGGUUCAGUCCCUAUGAGUUAAUGUUUGGGAGACAACCCAGGCUUCCAGUCGAUAUUGCAUUCAACCUACCCGUAAGGGAAGGAACACCAGUAUCUCACUCCCAAUAUGUGCGAAAUCUCAAGUCUCGACUGGAGGAGAGUUAUCAAACAGCCAUUGAAAACUCCCAGAAGGUUGCUGAGAGGAAUAAGCAGCAGUGGAAUAAACGAGUCAGAGAGUCUGCACUUGAAGUGGGAGAUAGAGUACUGGUGAGAAAUGUCCGUCUGAGGAACAAACACAAACUCGCUGACAAGUGGGAGUCCGCUGUGUACAGUGUCUUACAACAGAUGGGCGACUUACCUGUUUACAAGGUUCAGCCAGUAGAUGAAGAUGGUCCAGUCCGCACUUUACACAGGGAUCUUCUGCUGCCAUGCGGGCAAUUGGUUGAAGUCGAGGAUGAGGAACCCAAUCAGCCAAGGCCGAUUCGUCGUCCCAGGACAAGACAAUGUUCUCCUCAGGUCCAAGAAGAGGAAAGUUCUGAGUCUGAAGAGGAGUACACAGUCCUUCCCGAGGAAACCUCAGCUCUCACUGAGAAGAGAUUUACAAAGGUCUAUGACAUCCCUAAACAGCUGGUUGUAGCUGACAAUCCUCCCACAGAAAAGGAAGUGGGCGAGACACUACAAACCCAAUCACAAGUGGAGUCCUCUGCUGGUAAUGAGCCUGCGUUGCGAGUUGAAAAAGAAAAGGAAUUUCCUGAAGUGGUUGGAGAUCACCAGUUGGAGAGUAAUGAAAAUGGAAAACCGGGAAAUGACACUGAAAUUCCAGAAGCUCAAGAUACUCAAGGCGAGGGAACCGACUUACCUGAUGACUGUGGGGAAGGCAAUAUGGUACGCCGAUCUAUAAGGUCACGGCGGCCACCAGACCGAUUGAACUACCCACUGUUGGGUAAACCCUUCAUCUCUUUUGCUCAAAGUCUUUUAGACAGUUUCAAUCACGCACUCAUUUCCUUAGGUGACUACGACAGUCAUGAGGUUAUAGCAAUUUGAGUCAAGAUGUUAUAGCACAUGAAGGGACUCAUGCUGACUUAAGGGGGGAGUGUGUAACCCAUAUGGAAAUAUAGUGUCACUAAUAUAUUCUCCUAUUAUUCAUUUCUAAUCUAUGGUGUGCCAAAGUCACUUUGGUCACUUAAAAAAUGUUAAACUUGAUGUGUCAAAGUCAUGUGGUCACUACAGGGUUAAAUUAAUGAUACAUGCACGCAGCACGUUAUUCACAUGUUGGCCAGUAGAGGUCGCACGCACCUUUCUCAUUCCAGACAUUCCUUCACUGAACGUCAAAGAGUGAAGGCACGAGUCAUAUCGUUGUGUUACAAAGACAAGGUUUAUAAGUUAAAAUACUUGUCACUCCUCAAACCGAGUGUUGGAAAAGCAGCAUAAGAUAGCCUGGUUCCAGUGGGAGCUGGAUUGCUGUGUUUUGUGCUGCUGAGAACUUCAAUUGGUUUUUGUAUGAUCCUGAAGUCUGGUUCCAAACUGGACUUGAGUUAUGAUGGCGAGCCAGUCCCAGUGAGUGAGAGUCUGCGGAGAGGGAGCGUGUGGAUGUGGUGUGGCCAGCUGCAUCGGUCUCCACACUCUGCAGCGACCUAUAACUGAACUGAUCCACCAUCAGAGUCGCAAGUAUCGAACCGAAUCAGUAUGGAAUAACGGAUUACAAUAGAACUAAGGAUUCCCAACCAAGGAAUAUAGACAGUGUUCAAUUCAUUACUACCCGGGUAGAAUUUACUUUUUCAAAGGACAAUUUAAAAAGGACAUUUCUUCUAUUUUGCUACUUUUGAAUUUUUGCAACAGAGCUCUAUUUUUAUUUAUUUUUGGGGGGUAUUUACAAUUUAAAAAGCACACUGUUCAUGUGUUAUUGUUUAUUAUUGUGCAAUAAAUUUGCCAGCAGUUGUUCUGUGGUCCACUAAGUACGUAACGUCUCAUUGCGAGUCUCUCAAUUAUACAGCCAAGAACCUAGUAAUCUUAAUUGUUGUACUAACCUGCUAUCC